rnacentral:lncRNA from 1 species
GUCUUAAAUAAAACCUAUAUUUUUACAUUUUUCUUCCCAUUUUAUCCUUAUCAUCCCAUGAAUCGUUCUCUUUCAAUCUAGCUUUAUGAUUGAAUCUCUACAGCCACAAACGAAUUCAGUUCUUUCGUAUUUCCUCCAUCAAUUGUUACUGGUCAUUCAUACCUGAUUCAAUACACCAAUUUAAUUCCGAGAUACAUUUCAUACCGGCAAUUAUUUAACAUCGAAUCCAUCAUGGAACUGGGUACUCAUUUGCAGAAGACAAUGGAGAAGGGGAAACCAAGCACGGCCUCCGGCCGGCCACCUGAAACUCGCAAUAACAAGGACAGAUACGUUUUUGCAGUUUGAUGCUCUAAUUGUUUAGCCGAUUAGGGUUUUGGCAUGAUACUCAAGAGGAAGUUGAAAUAGACAAUUCUAAUUUAAUCAAGUGCAGUUUUUCCGACUAUGCAAAUUUCAAGGUUAAAUUGAGCAAAUUCAAGGUUAAGAUAGGGUUCCUCUCACUCUAUGAAUCCGCCGGUGAUGGUAGAAAUGGGUUUUGGCCUUUCAGCUAAAGAACCGAUGUUUGUGCAAGAUUCUGAAUUUUCAGGUUUUGAGUUUGUAUGAUUCGCAAAAAAAAACCAUACAAAUUCAAGUUUAUUGAUGGGUGAUGAUGGGUUUAACCAAACAUAAGCGACCAUUUACGUAACCCUAAAGCACAUCCCACUUGAAUCUGUACAGAGCGAUCUAUCUUCCGUCUAAUCAAGUUGUUGCGUGUUUGGAUCUUGAACGCAUAAACAGUAAUCUGUGCGCUCUUGCUGCUAUUGUCAUCUUUGUUGUCACCCAGCAAGCCUGAGUCUGGGGUAAAUCCCACCUCCGAGGUGAUCCCACCUCGCAGACCGCCACCCAGCAAGCCUGAAUCUGGGGGUAAAUCCGCUACCGUAGGGGCAUUGGGAACGAGCAAGACUCGAACCCGCCACCUCCGGGUUAGAAUGCGGGCUGGUGGCCAUUGGGCUGACACCUAAUGGUAUCCUUGUUGGGGAUUAAUCAUCAGCCUCCAACAGUGGUUCCUGGUGGUGAUCUUCCAAAGGUGCAGAGAGUUGUUUAUGAUUUCUAACUCUACAAGUGUGGCUGAGGUUCUCUCACAUUGACCAUAAGUUCAACUUUCUACAAUUUCACUGUAGUUUGUGUUUACCAGGCAUGUCAUUGGCAUCACUGCUGAUGAUGAGUCCCUAGAAAUUGCAUGGUAAUUUAUUGCAUUUAUAUCGUUUAGCAUUCAAGAUUCUUGUAGUUGUAUAAUUGAUAUACACGAUGGAUUUUUAUAUUCAUGUAUAUAGAACUUAGUAUGUUAUCUUUUAAAAUCUUACCCAGCCGUAAAGCGUGGGUGCUUAUAUAUAUACACACACACAACAUAUAUUUG